GACGAACGCUGGCGGCGUGCCUAAUACAUGCAAGUAGAACGCUGAAGAGAGGAGCUUGCUCUUCUUGGAUGAGUUGCGAACGGGUGAGUAACGCGUAGGUAACCUGCCUGGUAGCGGGGGAUAACUAUUGGAAACGAUAGCUAAUACCGCAUAAAAUUGAUUAUUGCAUGAUAAUUAAUUGAAAGAUGCAACUGCAUCACUACCAGAUGGACCUGCGUUGUAUUAGCUAGUUGGUGAGGUAACGGCUCACCAAAGCGACGAUACAUAGCCGACCUGAGAGGGUGAUCGGCCACACUGGGACUGAGACACGGCCCAGACUCCUACGGGAGGCAGCAGUAGGGAAUCUUCGGCAAUGGGGGGAACCCUGACCGAGCAACGCCGCGUGAGUGAAGAAGGUUUUCGGAUCGUAAAGCUCUGUUGUAAGAGAAGAACGGGUGUGAGAGUGGAAAGUUCACACUGUGACGGUAUCUUACCAGAAAGGGACGGCUAACUACGUG
rnacentral:rRNA from 1 species